GAAAAUGCGAUAUGCAGUGUGAAUUGCAGAACCACGAAUCAUCAGAUCUUUGAACGCAUCUGGCGCCGAUACAAUCGGCAUACUUGUUUCAGUGUGCUUAAACAACCAAACCUAAAUGUAGGAGAAGUUCUCCUAUGAAAUAAGUGCUCCUUGCAGCUGUCACAUUUAUAUGUGUGCUGUUUUGGAAUAUAAUGACUUAAUGUCACCUGAAAUCAAGUAAGAUGACCCGCUGGACUUAA
rnacentral:misc_RNA from 1 species